AGAACAUCAAGGCAGACAGGAAGUAGCUUGCAUUUGGAAGCUGCAGAGCUGGUGAGACUUUACAGAAAGCUACAGAAAUCCUAUGUUGUUUUCAUCUGGCUCGUGAUGAAAUCACUUUGGGAAUGAUUCUCCAGUAAGCCUCAGAAGCUAAGGAAGAAAACCAGACACAGCUCGUGACCAUAACACAUCUUUAUAUGAAUGAAAGACAGUUGCUCCUGACUAAGUCAACAGAGGAGAUGGAAUGAACAAAGUAGACUAUAACUAUUUGUUUUAAUCCUGGAUCUGAUAAGACAUGAGAAUCGACCUUUGACCUCUCUGGAAAAUCUGAUUAAGUGUCACAAAUUAUUGAUGUUUUCCAUGAAAUGACCCCGAGAGUUUUCCCUCUAUACCAUCAGCUCGCUAAGUAAUUCAGUUGGAGAAUGCAGUAACAGGAGACACUUGGAGUUAAUUCUGCAGUGAUAAUGUGCAGCGACCUUGUUUCCACUGUCAAGGUGACUUCCGGACAUACUGAGUGAAUCUUCACACAGAACGGCACCACAGAGAAAACAACAUGUGUCAGCCCUGUGGGUGGAAGGGACGUGCAAUUUAAAAUGUCUAAUUACACGUUUCACCUCAGGUAAACAUCCUGGAAAAGACACGAUUUUCUGCAGAUUAAUGCAUUCCUUCUUUGGGGCCACAGAUAAAGUAGCAAGGAAAAAUGUAACUAUUAUUUUUCUGCUAUUCUUUAAGUCUUCCAAGGAGUAUACCAAGUGCCUGGGUCUGCCAUGUAAAUCUACAACUUGACCUGACUAUCAGUGACUCUAAAAUAUAAUAAAUUAAAAUGCUAGCAUAUAUAGAAAUAUCAUUGAGGAUUGCUUUUGAUGUCUGAGUAAGUUUAAAAAUCAGGACUGAUGAAGGACCCCAGCAACCCAGAGCGGCAUAGAUACAAACU